GGAAGGGGUGUAUUUAUUAGAUAAAAAACCAAUGCCCUUUCGGGCUCUUUGGUGAUUCAUAAUAACUUAACGAAUCGCAUGGCCUUGCGCCGGCGAUGGUUCAUUCAAAUUUCUGCCCUAUCAACUUUCGAUGGUAAGGUAGUGGCUUACCAUGGUCUCAACGGGUAAGGGGAAUUAGGGUUCUAUUCCGGAGAGGGAGCCUGAGAAACGGCUACCACAUCCAAGGAAGGCAGCAGGCGCGCAAAUUACCCAAUCCCGAUACGGGGAGGUAGUGACAAUAAAUACUGAUACGGGGCUCUUUCGGGUCUCGUAAUUGGAAUGAGUACAAUCUAAAUCCCUUAACGAGGAACAAUUGGAGGGCAAGUCUGGUGCCAGCAGCCGCGGUAAUUCCAGCUCCAAUAGCGUAUAUUAAAGUUGUUGCCGUUAAAAAGCUCGUAGUUGAACCUUGGACCUGGCUGACCUGUCCUCCUAAUCGAGCGCACGGAUUCGGUCGGGCUUUCCUUCUGGGGA
rnacentral:rRNA from 1 species